GACGAACGCUGGCGGCGUGCUUAACACAUGCAAGUCGAACGGAAAGGCCCUUCGGGGUACUCGAGUGGCGAACGGGUGAGUAACACGUGGGUGAUCUGCCCUGCACUUUGGGAUAAGCCUGGGAAACUGGGUCUAAUACCGAAUAGGACCACACGCUUCAUGGUGUGUGGUGGAAAGCUUUUGCGGUGUGGGAUGGGCCCGCGGCCUAUCAGCUUGUUGGUGGGGUAAUGGCCUACCAAGGCGACGACGGGUAGCCGGCCUGAGAGGGUGACCGGCCACACUGGGACUGAGAUACGGCCCAGACUCCUACGGGAGGCAGCAGUGGGGAAUAUUGCACAAUGGGCGCAAGCCUGAUGCAGCGACGCCGCGUGAGGGAUGACGGCCUUCGGGUUGUAAACCUCUUUCAAUAGGGACGAAGCGCAAGUGACGGUACCUAUAGAAGAAGCACCGGCCAACUACGUG
rnacentral:rRNA from 1 species